rnacentral:misc_RNA from 1 species
AACCUAGCACACCUGCGGUGUGUACCUGCGGAGGGAUCAUUACCGAGUGUAAAAACUCCCAAACCCAUUGUGAACAUACCACUGUUGCUUCGGCGGAUCCGUCCCGGGCGCGCCCUCUCAGGCGUGCCCCGGAACCAGGCGCCCGCCGGGGGAAAAACCAAAACUCUUUGUUUUCUUGAGAAUCUCUGAGUGUGAUUUAUAGCAAAUCAAAUCAAAACUUUCAACAACGGAUCUCAGAUC